AGUCAGAGUUAUCAAAAGUGGAGAGUAAAUCCUUGGCCGUUGUCAGUUCAUCUGAUGAGUCCCUAGAGGCUUGUUGGUUUGUUGAUGGUGUCCUAUCAAAGCUCGAUGACUAUACUAUUUCCCAGUCACCCUCACCCAAUGAAGACUUGAGCGUGAGUACUCAAUAUUCUCAACUGAGCUCAGAAGAGAGUGUCAGAAUCACAGAGUCCUCUACUAGUCUGAUUCAGAGCAUUAAGAAGCUCUCUAGCAAUGACUUCCAGACUCAGGCAGAAGAGGCAGUGAGUAAAGUGCUGAUGAGAUCCAGUCAUUCCUUUAUCACACAGAUCAGCCAUACUGGUCUUCAGAAAAGUCUGCAGGCUGGCUUAUCAUCUAGCUCACCAUCAGAGAUCCAUGUCCUUUCAGAAUCCAUGUCCUCCAUGUCCUCUGAGAAUACAGCCUCUGGAUUAGUGGAAACCUUUGUCAAAGGAAUGGCAACUAUUUUCCAGAAAAAUGAGUCCACUGACACUGUGCUACUGGAAAGAAGUGGGAGAGUUUCGCAGUGCUCCCACGGGGGCUCCCAAAUGGAUGAUACUGAAUUGAGUGUUAAAAUAUCAGAGGAGAAGCUUUGGUCAACAGCUAAGACCAUCUGCGUCAGUAUGAAGAACACACUUAAGGAUUUCUUCACAGGGCUGAAGCCAUCCGGAUCCGAAAGGACAGAAAAUGCUUCUUCCAAAGAGACCCUUGGGGAAAUCCUGGUUGCUAUCCAGAGUGAAAUCUCAAACUUAGGGCGAAUGAAGGAUUCCAGAGAGCUCCUUCAGAUCAAUGAUAUGGUAGGAACUAUGCUGAAGGAGGUUGAGAAAAGUGAGGAUGACAGUGAACAAGUCUGCCAAGACAUCCCUAGAACCUGUUCAUCUUUGUCCACUUCUUUAAAUGGUCGUAGUUCCUUGUCCAGCUCUUCAAAGGGUCCUAGGUCAGAGUGUGAGUUAGAGAUCAACCUCCCUGGCACUCCCAUCCCUGACGAAGUGCCUUUUGAUCUGACCUGCCCCAUCGUCAGGAGCUCCUGCAUCGACACCAGGGUCUCUAAAAUGCCAGAUAUUUCUUCAAGUGACAUAAAGACAAAGAUGAUGGCACACAUAGAUGAACCCCUGCAUCGUAACAGUCCAAUGACUGACAGCAGUCGACCACCGAGUGCUAAAGCCUCUUUUCGAUCCUCCACCCCGUCUUUCACCAGCAAGGGAACCUCUUUGGUACCAAAGGGAAAUGGGAUUGACAUUGAAGAGAAGGAGGUGUGCAUCCCCAGCAGCUCUGGCCAUCUGAGGGAGCUCUUAAUCCCCCCGGACAUCAGCAGUGCCACUGCAUUCCCACUGCAGUACUUGAUGGACUCCAGCAAAGAUGAUGGCAUCUGUUUUGUCACCAUACUGGUGAUAAGGUUGCUAUCGAAGAUCAGACCCUCAGCCCUAGAUGGACCCUCCCAACAGGCAGCAGACAUGACAGAAACAUCUCAGCAACUCAUCAGACAAGUCCUGUCUGAGUUCUGUGCUGCAUCCAGAUUCUCCAGGACACAGGCAUAUUCCCAGAACCUGUACAUCCACAGGGUGUUCAGAGGUGUACAUCAAAACCUCAUGGAGGAGUUUGGCUCUUAUAACACCCUGCAAGCAGCUAUUUCCUCCCAGGACCCUGCAUUUGACAGAGUCCUGGUAAAGUCCUUGACCCAGCAGCUGGUACAAGGAUGCAAGGAGGCGUCAAGACCAGCUUCUGCUGCAACAAACCCAUUAGACCAGGCUGAGACAGAGAGGGGGGCUGAGCAGAAAGCAAGAAGGAGCUUCCUUUGCUUUUCAAUGACCAAACUCAGGAUCAACUUCAAGCGUUCCAAGAGAGGAAACAAAAAGGACUGCCAUUCAGUCCAGGAACAGACUGAGAUUCCCUCUACUGGUGCACAUUGCAUAGGUAAGGAUUUUAGAGCUCUGCUAAAGCUUGUAGUUUUGUUUAGGUGUGUGUUAGAAACAUAGGUAUGCCUACCAAACUCAUAGCACUGUUAUUUUUCAACGUUACUAUACUGCCCCUCUCUCUCUCUCUCUCUCUCUCUCGUUCUCACACUCUCUCUCACACUCUCUCUCUCACGCUCUCUCGUGUUUCUCUAUUUCUCUUGUGUUUCUAGUUCCCGUUGGAGAGGUUUCUCCCUCCAUAUCUCAGCCUGUCAAAAAACGAUCCUUGAUUGUCAGGGUCUUUUCAGCAAUGAUGAAGCCAUUCAGGCGCUUCAUCAAGAAGAACCUGUAACCUGUUACGCUGCAUGAAGAACUACUUUUGUAACAGCAAGACUUUUGACAAGAGGAAUUUCUGCAUGUCUACCCUUUCAAAGUCUAUUUGGUCAAAUAAAUGCAAAUUAUUUUACAAGAAUUUCAAGUGUUUUGGAAGAUUGGUAAUACUGAAGCAGAUUUUCUCAGAGAAAUGCACUAGUUCCUCCUUGGUUACAUAUUUAUUGUGCAGUUUUUUGAGUUGGCAGGACUUGGGGCAGCAGGUAGCCUUGUGGUUAGAGCGUUGGGCCAGUAACUGAAAGGUUGCUAGGUCAGAUCCCUGAGCUAACCAUGUAAAAAUAUGACGUUCUGCUCCUGAACAAGGUAGUUAACCCACUGUUCCAAGCUGUCAUUGUAAAUAAGAAUUUGUUCUGAACUGACUUGUCUAGGAAAAUAAAUAAAAUAACCACAGUUUGACUCUAAUACAAUAGUUGCUGCAUAGACUGUCAGAUAAGCAGAUGUCUAUUCAUUUAGUUUGAUUGGUAAGAGCUUAUUAGCAGCAAGGGGAAAACACAUAGAGGAGAAUUAGCUAUCUGCAGCUAGAUCAAACGUUGAAAAUAUAAGGUCCAACAGUUGACAGUGUAUGUCAGUCAAAAACCAAGCCAUGAGGUCAAAGGAAUUGUCCGUAGAGCUCAGAGACAUGAUUGUGUCAAGGCGCAGAUCUGGUGAAGGGUACCAAAACAUUUCUGCAAUAUUGAAGGUCCCCAAGGACACAGUGGCCUCCAUCAUUCUUAAACGGAAGAAGUUUGGAACCACAAAGACUCUUCCAAGAGCUGGCCGCCAGGCCAAACUGAGCAAUCGGGGGAGAAGGGCUUUGGACAAUUCAAAAUAGCUCUACUCUGAGAACUACUUUUAAUCACAGAGUGGAAAGCAUAGAACCAUACUGUGUUGAUCACAAUUAUGGGUGUAUUCUGGAAUAAGACAAACCUAUACAUAGAGUUGGAGUCUGAGUGUGUGUACACACAGCCACCUCUUUAACCACUCUUCAAAAUAUAUGGCAGCCUUUGAGAUGGAGAGGCAGGAGAAUAAGUGACAGAACAAGAGUGUAAUAAAAGCAUGACUUCUCUCCCACUCCUGCUCACAGCAGCAGUGCAGUGGAGUAUCUUCAACAGCCAUAGGCCCAGGGGUUUAAUAUCACAUAUCACACAUUUCAUAUCACAUUCUAUGAUGCAAUGGAGAAUACAGAACAAAAACCAACCCCCAUAAGAUAACACUUCGCACAUCACAGCCAAACAUCAUGUAUCACAUGAAGAGAAAUGUGUGUUCUCUGGACGUGAUGCCUUGUCACAGACCUGCUGUUUCGAUCUUUGCUCUCUCUCUCCCUCUCCCCCNNNNNNNNNNNNNNNNNNNNNNNNNNNNNNNNNNNNNNNNNNNNNNNNNNNNNNNNNNNNNNNNUCCCCCACCUCUCCCUCUCUCUCUCUCUCUCUAUCUCUCUCUCUCUCUUUCUCUCUCUUGCAAUGCAUGCUGGGAGUUUUUUGGGAGUUUGAGUGUUUGGUGUGGAGGGCUCUAUCCUAACUAACUUUCUUUGAUUCUUUUCUUUACAUGUUAUUUUCUAUGGUGGAGGGUUAAUGCAAUAUUGUUUUAACGGUAUCCACAGUUUUUUUAAAGAUAGGGUGGAAGAGGACAGAGUAACUCUCCUGGGGUUUGGUUUUGAUAGCCUUUAGCCGCACCCUCAUACUACUCCUCCUUUGUUCCGCGGGUGAUGUGGAGGUAACCCCAGGCCCUGCAUGUCCCCAGGCACCCUCAUUUGUUGACUUCUGUGNNNNNNNNNNCCCCCACCUCUCCCUCUCUCUCUCUCUCUCUAUCUCUCUCUCUCUCUUUCUCUCUCUUGCAAUGCAUGCUGGGAGUUUUUUGGGAGUUUGAGUGUUUGGUGUGGAGGGCUCUAUCCUAACUAACUUUCUUUGAUUCUUUUCUUUACAUGUUAUUUUCUAUGGUGGAGGGUUAAUGCAAUAUUGUUUUAACGGUAUCCACAGUUUUUUUAAAGAUAGGGUGGAAGAGGACAGAGUAACUCUCCUGGGGUUUGGUUUUGAUAGCCUUUAGCCGCACCCUCAUACUACUCCUCCUUUGUUCCGCGGGUGAUGUGGAGGUAACCCCAGGCCCUGCAUGUCCCCAGGCACCCUCAUUUGUUGACUUCUGUGAUCGAAAAAGCAUUGGUUUCAUGCAUGUCAACAUCAGAAGCCUCCUCCCUAAGUUUGUUUUACUCACUGCUUUAGCACACUCUGCCAACCCUGAUGUCCUUGCCGUGUCUGAAUCCUGGCUUAGGAAGGCCACCAAUAAUUCUGAGAUGUCCAUACCCAACUAUAACAUUUUCCGUCAAGAUAGAACUGUCAAAGGGGGAGGAGUUAGCCUGCAAAGUAAUGUCAUACUUUCCAGGUCCAUACCCAAACAGUUCGAACUACUAAUUUUAAAAAUUACUCUCUCAAGAAAUAAGUCUCUCACUGUUGCCACCUGCUACCGACCCCCCUCAGCUCCCAGCUGUGCCCUGGACACCAUUUGUGAAUUGAUCACCCCCCCAUCUAGCUUCAGAGUUUGUUCUGUUAGGUGACCUAAACUGGGAUAUGCUUAACACCCCGGCAGUCCUACAAUCUAAGCUAGAUGCCGUCAAUCUCACACAAAUCAUCAAGAAACCCACCAGGUACAACCCUACAUCUGUAAACAAGGGCACCCUCAUAGACGUUAUCCUGACCAAUUGGCCCUCCAAAUACACCUCCGCUGUCUUCAAUCAGGAUCUCAGCGAUCACUGCCUCAUUCCCUGUAUCCACUACGGGUCCGCAGUCAAACGACCACCCCUCAUCACUGUCAAACGCUCCCUAAAACACUUCUGCGAGCAGGCCUUUCUAAUCGACCUGGCCCGGGUAUCCUGGAAGGAUUUUGACCUCAUCCCGUCAGUUGAGGAUGCCUGGUCAUUCUUUAAAAGUAACUUCCUCACCAUCUUAGAUAAGCAUGCUCCGUUCAAAAAAUGCAGAACUAAGAACAGAUAUAGCCCUUGGUUCACUCCAGACCUGACUGCCCUCGACCAGCACAAAAACAUCCUGUGGCGGACUGCAAUAGCAUUGAAUAGUCCCCGCGAUAUGCAACUGUUCAGGGAAGUCAGGAACCAAUACACGCAGUCAGUCAGGAAAGCAAAGGCCAGCUUUUUCAAGCAGAAAUUUGCAUCCUGAAGCUCUAACUCCAAAAAGUUCUGGGACACUGUAAAGUCCAUGGAGAACAAGAGCAUCUCCUCCCAGCUGCCCACUGCACUGAGGCUAGGUAACACGGUCACCACCGAUAAAUCCAUGAUAAUCGAAAACUUCAACAAGCAUUUCUCAAUGGCUGGCCAUGCCUUCCUCCUGGCUACUCCAACCUCGGACAACAGCUUUUAUUUUUUAAAAUAUAUAUCAGGCACUUUUUUUCAGAAAACCGAUGGCAGCGUCUAUCAUUGCUCUUCUACCAUCUAUCCCAUGUAAAGUUAGUUAGGCUAGGGGUUAGGGUUAAGGUUAGAGUUACGGUUAGAGUUAGGGGAAGGGUUAGCUAACAUUCUAAGUAGUUACAAAGUAGCUAAAACGUAGUAAGUAGUUGAACGUUUGCUAAUUAGCUAAAGUUGUCUGUGAUGAGAUUCAAAAUCAUAACCUUUGGAUCGUUAGACAUCCGUGUUAUACUGUAUGCCCACCCCUCCACCCUGACCAACCACCCUACUUUUGUUUUUGCCUUAAAUAACCAUUUGUCUUAUAUAACCAUACCAAACAUAACAUAUUAUACUAAUUUGAGUGUCCCGGAUUUACAUUUACUAUGUUACGUCUAGUCAAUGAGAUCAGGCUGAUCACAGACAUGAACAGAGUAACAGGUCAUUGUAGUUAUGAGUGUGAGUGUUAGAGAGGGAUUGGAGAAUUUCACUGUGGGUCAAUGCAGAGCUAAGCAUGAAGGAUUUUUGUGGCAUGACAUAAAACCAGAAACCACAGCACAGAGGAAACCUCUGAGGGUCAUAAUGGCUGGUCCCAUUAAACCUGGGGGAGGAGGAGUUUGAGCAGACCUCAGAGGACAGGAGCUGUCAUGGUGUUAAGG
rnacentral:lncRNA from 13 species